ACAAAAGCAGAAAUCCACUGCAGAAACGAGGGUUUGGGGGAAACCGAAAGCUCAGACAACGCUAGAGAAGGAGGCAGCAGUGGGAAGGGUUGGGUGUUGCCCCCCUCCGCAACCCAUGAUCUCCGAUUUCCCCCCGAAAUUCAACAGCCCUUACAUCUGGGAUGGAACUCCGAUCGUCUGAUCAUCCGAUUGCUUGUUGACUGGACUGCUUCUUCUACAAUAUUUUCUUUUUGGGUAAAUUACACUUUUCGUUCUUUAUGUUUAUAUCGGUACUGCUUGCUUCUGAUGUUGUUCUUCGUAGUGGUUAGCACCGGCUGCGACAUACUCAAUUCCAAACACCCCUCUUUCUCUUUCUUUAACAUUGUGAGGCGAUGAUGAUGAUGAAUUUGUGGUUGUUGUCUGAGUGAAUGGAACGAAGGUUGAGACUUACCGUAUCUUGGCGGGGUAAUCUCCGGAGGCUUGGCGGUAGUUUUCACCGUUGAAGCAGCCGCGUUGUUUGCAGCCAUGGCGUUAUGUUGAUGCUGCUGCUACUGCUGCUGCGGUUGUUUUAUUUGAAAAGGCUAUGAUGAUGAAAUUAUUUCGAGCAAGAUCGGAAUUUACAGAUCUGAUCCUUAUCUUGGCUAGGCAAUUCGGUCGGUAUGUAUGUAUAUGAUACAUGCAACUGUGAUUGCAGCCAUGGCGGAUUUUGACAGUAAAUUCCGAUGAUAACAUAUAUGAGCCUCAAAACCUCAGCAGCCCAUGAUCUUCGAUUUCCCCCCAAAUAUUCAACACCAUAUAUAAUACCCAUGCCUUCUGUCUACAUUACAUAUUCAUUCCUAUGAUCUUGUUGCUUCUUUCAAAUAUUAUUUUACCAUAAUACAAUGGAAACAUAUCGGUAUUCUUUUGGUAUUGUUCCUCGUAGAGGCUACAUUAUGAGGAAAAAAACAGCAAUGUAUAGAGGCGAUUAUGAAAAAAACAUAUCUGAGUGGUUCGAACGAAGGUUGAAACAGACCGUAUCUUGGCGGGGUAAUAUCCGGAGGCUUCUAUUUGAAGCAAACGUGAUGUUUGCAGCCAUGGCGGUAAAAUGCCAUUUUUACACUGCAUAAAAAGAGAGUAAAAUGCCAUUUUCAUCCCUGAGGUUUGGUCAGUUUUGCGACUUUCGUCCAAAGGUUUGUUUUUUCACAUCUGGAUCCAAAAGGUUUGAAAUAUUGCCAUUUUCAUCCGGCUCGUUACUUCCAUCCAUUUUUCUCAUUAACUCUGAGGUAUUUUUGUGCAUAAAGUGAAAAAGACCAAAUUGCCCUUUGUUGUUGUUGUUCCAUAUAUAAAGACUAUGACGAUGGAAAUUAUUUCAAGCAAAAUCGGAAUUUACAGAUCUGAUCCGUAUCUUGGCUAGGCAACUUGGUCGGUAUGUAUUUGAUACAUGCAACUGUGCUUGCAGCCAUGGCGGAUUUCGAAAAUAAAUUCCAAUGAUAUAUCUGAGCCUCAAAACCUUUAACUUUGGAGAUAAAAGAACAUCUAUCUGUACUAUAUUAUAAAGCAUAUAGGAAGGACAACUUAAGGUAAUUUGCCACUUUACUUAAAAUACCUUUAAAGCAUGAUGUACAACUCUCUAAGGCACAUUUCGGGUUUUUCUUUCCCAAAUCGAUUCAGGUUAAAAUCGCUUCGUUUUGGGCCAAGAACAGUCAAAACUGGUAUUUGGUGAAUCUGGGUUACAAGUAAUAUGCCAAAACAGCCAGUAGCACGUAAACGGGCAACAAGCUAAUCCGUAAACCCUUUUGAAUAGCAAAACCGAUCCUACUAAAGAGGGAGGAGUUCUCAAACUGGUGGUUGGUUUGAAACUGGACCUGUUUCACCAAUCCUGUUUCAUAAUCGGUUUCGGGUCGGGUCAAAACUCGUUCCAGUUCACAAACCGGUGUUUUAUAAUAGACGCCUUAAAAUAUGAGGGGGGGGGGGGUAUUAAGCAUGCUUCCAACAAACGUAUCGUUAGUAAAUUAGGGUAGGAUUAUCUCCUCUACACUGUGUCCUUUUUGUGGAGUUGUCCCCGAAGAGGUCGAUCACCUUUUUUAUCAAUUGUGGACUGGUGAGUGAUUUGUGGCGACAGGUUUUAUUGUGGUGCAAAAUUCCCAUAUUCUGCGCAGCCUUGACAAGGGAGUGGGUCGAUUACCAUUUUUUCGUAUUAAGAAGCUUCUUUGAGUCUUCAAGCAGUUUUUUUUACAGUCUUGUGGUGCAUUUGGGGAGCAAGGAAUCGCCAGGUUUUUAAUAACGCGGACUCUAUGAAAAUAUUAGAGGUCGCUGAAACUAUGUGUUAUCUUUAUGGAUCAAAUAUAGGGGAAAUUUAAUCUCAUUAGAUUGGGCUUGCUACUUUGCUUAAUGUGUAAUUGUGUACUCUUUUCAAGUUUCUAGCUCCUGGCUAGAACCUGUUCAUCGUCGUCCUCGUCCUCGUGGCCGCCGCCGCCGCAGCCGCCAAUCAUACUAAUUGUAUACGUAAGUUUACUACAGUUUUUUCUGACCGGUGCAAGCAUGGGUCUGCUUAGAUGAAUGUGGUUUGGAUAAAUAAUGUUUAUAUGGUGAUGAAAAUGUUGCUUUUAUGAUAUUUAUGUCCAUUUUCGUAUGGGAUUUCUUAAUCAAGACUUGAACUAUUUCAUGAUUGUUUUUUCUUGGUAUUGCUUUGUUCAUAAUUACUCCAAGUUCAUUUUGAUUUGUCAUCAACAGACCUGAGUGUAGUUUGUUGAAUAUAAGUUUUUUCUCCGUUCA